CAGUCAUGUUCUCACUCCCCUAGCCCCGGCAGAAGGAUGUCUGUUCCCUCCAUCCCUCCUUCCUCCCUGCUCUACCUCCUCCCUCCUGGCAUCCCCCUUCACAGAACGACCUGUGGCAGCUACCUGGAAGACUCCGUAUCAACCCGUCUCUGUGGGAUAAGAGGAUGUGGUCCACUGGCUGCACUGGGCUCAGAGAAUAUUCUCUUCCUCAGAAACUGAGAGAGGACGGUUUGAAGAUGAACGGCAGAGCUCUCUUGCCUCCUCACAAGGAAGACUUCAGACGUCGCUGUCCCGACUCAGGUGAUGUACUGUACGAGCUCCU